UCCCAGCAGUCCAAGUUGCAGCCAGCUUUAUUGGGUCUAAAACAUCCGUAGCUUGUUUAAUAAGUCUCUUGUGAAAUCUGGCAUCUUAAGUGUCAGGCGAGCAAGAGAUACUAUUAGGCUAGAGACCGGUAGAUGUAAGGAGUACACUUAAGGUAGUGGUAAAAUACGUUAAUCUUAGGUGGACUAACAAUUGGCGAAGGCACCUUACAAGGACGGAUCUGACAGUGAGGGAUGAAGGCUAGGGG
rnacentral:rRNA from 1 species